AAAAUAGUGUCUUCUGUUUCCUUUUAUUCUACAUCUUUCAUUGCUGUCUGUAAUGAGCUAGACAUCUUACUCCUAUUAUUUUUCUUUUCUCUUUCUUCUGAGUUUUUGGAUGAUAGCUGAUCUGUUCCUCUCUUUUCUGUUCUCUUUUUCUUCCUUAGGAAAAAACUUCCUUCCACUGCUUCUCUGUUGGCUUGCUCUCAGGGAUACUUCUAGCAUUUUCCACUUCUAGCACAGGUAUUUGUAGGCUAUCCCUUCCCUCUUGGCCAUGCAGUAUCAUUUAAAUUGUACAGUGUGCUUUCACCUGUUUUCUCAGUGGGCAAAUGGUGGUAUUUAAUGAACCUAUAGCAACUUUGCUUAAGAUUGUGUCAGUGUUCUAUUGUUUAUACUGUAAACAUAUGUAUGGAGACUACAGAAUGGGAGCUACAGGACAUUAAGACCAUUUUUGUUUCACCACUUCAAUAAUGAUGGAAUAUAGUUCUGUCCCACAUCUUUAUUACUUUUUUUUUUUUUUUUGGUAUGAGAAUUUUCAUCAUAAAAUAGCAUACUAGGAGUAGAAGUAAUAGACUAUAGUGACCAAUUACUCUCACUGGGUAUAUACUUUUCCAGAAUUCUGUAAUAUUUUUUCCACAUGGGGAUUGAAAUGCCCAUGUGAUUUUCUGAGAUUUCAAAUUUGCACAAUUGGAGGAGAUUAUCCCACCUCCUGAAGGCUUGCUUGCUUGUUUAUUUAUUCAUUUAUUUAUUUUUCUAUAAAAGAAUAUGUGCCUAUUACUGCAUUUGAGUGAGGUUCUUUUUUUAUUUCUGAAAAUGAAUUUAUAAAUGCUAAGAUAUGAAUUUGUUGAUGACUUUAACAACUUGUUAAAGUCCUCGAUUUUUUUUUUUUAACAAAAAGAAUGGUUUAGCUUACAAUUGUAUACUUAUUAAAAUGGUAAUUAAUAGAACAUAAUUUGAGACAGGGUUUCAUGUAUUUGAGAUGUUCUUGGUAUUUGAUUAUUCAGUGCUGAGGAUUGAACCCUGGGCUUUGUGAAUACUGGGAAAGCAUUGUCAAUUUAGCUAGAGCUUCAUCCCAAGCAGUGCAGAAAAAGAUGCUUGUUGGUAAAAGUUAAGUCUUUCUGAUUGUUGUGAAGGAAAGUCUUGCUAUAUAUCGACAAGACUUUUAUAGAAUUUCUUUUUAGAUGAUCUUUGUCUUAAUUUCAAAGAUGUUUGUUACAUAAUUGUAGCUCUUAUGGAAGGUUAUUAACUCACUGGCAUUGACACUUUUUAUUUUAUUUUUGUUUUAAUGUACAGAAAUCUUCAAAAUUAAGUCCAUUCUGAUUCUCUUAAAAGAACAAUAGCUUUUCUUCUGAGUUCUUUUGUUUUUAUAAUUUUCAUAUUUGGCUAAUAUAAUGUUUGAGUCUAAUCUAUCUUACUCUUAUUCAGAAAUUGGUCCUACAAAAUUUUAAUAAUUACUUUAUAUUUGAUAUAUUUAUCCAGAACUGUAGGGUUUUUUUAUUUUUGUUUGUUUUUUGUUUUUUUGUUUUUGUUUUUGUUUUUUUUUUUUUUGGUUUUUUGAGACAGAGUUUCUCUGUGUAGCCCUGGCUGUCCUGGAACUCACUUUGUAGACCAGGCUGGCCUCGAACUCAGAAAUCCACCUGCCUUUGCCUCCCAAGUGCUGGGAUUAAAGGCGUGCGCCACCACACCCAGCAGGGUUUUUGUUUUUUGUUUUUGUUUUUUAAUUAACAAUUUAAAGAGUUAAGGCUGACAGAUUGACUCAACAAGAAGAGGUGCUUUCUGCUCCGUCUGAUGAACAUUUUCUAUUAACAAUUUCUCAUGGUGGAAGAGAAUGUUCUCUGAUCUCCAUGUUUGCAUCAUAGCAUCCACAUAACUGCAUAUAUACUCAUUUAUAAAUACAUGUACAGGCUUGAAGCAAAGAUUCUGAAAAAUCACUGUAAAUUAUAUGGAAAAAAUAGGUUUAAAUUUUAUUUUGCAUUUUGUCUUUUUUUUUUUUAAUAGAAUAGAGUUUAUUUAGGGCAUGGGAAGGGGAAUUGAGAAGGGAG
rnacentral:lncRNA from 1 species